GAGAGUUUGAUUCUGGCUCAGGAUGAAUGCUGGCGGCGUGGAUAAGGCAUGCAAGUCGAACGAGCUUUCUCCGCAAGGAGAAGGUGUAGUGGCGAACGAGUUAGUAACACCUUGGUACGUACCCUUUAGUCGGGCACAACCAGCCGAAAGGUUGGCUAAUUCCCGAUAGUCCCUCACGGGUAAAGUCGCAAGACGCUUAAGGAGCGGCCUAGGUCCUAUCAGCUUGUUGGCGGGGUAAAAGCCCACCAAGGCUAUGACGGGUAGGAGGCGUGAGAGCGCGACCUUCAACGGCGAUACUGAGAAACGGAUCGCACACCUACGGGUGGCAGCAGUCGAGAAUAUUCGACAAUGGGCGAAAGCCUGAUCGAGCGACGCCGCGUGCAGGAAGAAGUCCUUCGGGAUGUAAACUGCUUUUGCGUGGGAAGAACUUUGACGGUACCACGAGAAUAAGGGGUUCCUAACUCUGUGCCAGCAGGAGCGGUAAUACAGAGACCCCAAGCAUUAUCCGGAAUUACUGGGCGUAAAGCGCGAGUAGCCGGUUGCAUUAGUCUGAUGUUAAAUUUCAUGGCUUAACUGUGAAACCGCAUCGGAAACGGUGCGACUUGAGCAGCUGAGAGGUACGCGGAACGUGCGGUGUAGGGGUGAAAUCCAUUGAUAUUGCACGGAACACCAAAAGCGAAGGCAGCGUACUGGCAGUUUGCUGACGGUCAAUCGCGAAAGCGUGGGGAUCAAAAAGGAUUAGAUACCCUUGUAGUCCA
rnacentral:rRNA from 1 species